ACACAUGCAAGUCGAGGGGCAGCAUGGUCUUAGCUUGCUAAGGCUGAUGGCGACCGGCGCACGGGUGAGUAACACGUAUCCAACCUGCCGUCUACUCUUGGCCAGCCUUCUGAAAGGAAGAUUAAUCCAGGAUGGCAUCAUGAGUUCACAUGUCCGCAUGAUUAAAGGUAUUUUCCGGUAGACGAUGGGGAUGCGUUCCAUUAGAUAGUAGGCGGGGUAACGGCCCACCUAGUCAACGAUGGAUAGGGGUUCUGAGAGGAAGGUCCCCCACAUUGGAACUGAGACACGGUCCAAACUCCUACGGGAGGCAGCAGUGAGGAAUAUUGGUCAAUGGGCGAUGGCCUGAACCAGCCAAGUAGCGUGAAGGAUGACUGCCCUAUGGGUUGUAAACUUCUUUUAUAAAGGAAUAAAGUCGGGUAUGCAUACCCGUUUGCAUGUACUUUAUGAAUAAGGAUCGGCUAACUCCGUGCCAGCAGCCGCGGUAAUACGGAGGAUCCGAGCGUUAUCCGGAUUUAUUGGGUUUAAAGGGAGCGUAGAUGGAUGUUUAAGUCAGUUGUGAAAGUUUGCGGCUCAACCGUAAAAUUGCAGUUGAUACUGGAUGUCUUGAGUGCAGUUGAGGCAGGCGGAAUUCGUGGUGUAGCGGUGAAAUGCUUAGAUAUCACGAAGAACUCCGAUUGCGAAGGCAGCCUGCUAAGCUGCAACUGACAUUGAGGCUCGAAAGUGUGGGUAUCAAACAGGAUUAGAUACCC
rnacentral:rRNA from 1 species